UUACAGAGCUCAUGCCCUUCGGGGUAGACCUCCACCCUUGCAUACCUUACCUUUGUUGCUUUGGCGGCCCGCCUCACCUUGUGUGAGGCCACUGGUCUUGGCCGGUGCGUGACCGUCGAAGGUUAUCAACUCUAUAAUUUAUGUCGUCUGAGUACUAUACAAUAGUUAAAACUUUCAACAACGGAUCUCUUGGUUCUGGCAUCGAUGAAGAACGCAGCGAAAUGCGAUAAGUAAUGUGAAUUGCAGAAUUCAGUGAAUCAUCGAAUCUUUGAACGCACAUUGCGCCCCCUGGCAUUCCGGGGGGCAUGCCUGUUCGAGCGUCAUUAACACCACUCAAGCUCAGCUUGGUAUUGGGUCACGCCAGCAAUGGUGAACCUCAAACUCAGUGGCGGCACCGUUGGGUCCCGAGCGUAGUAAAUAUCUCGCUGAGGGUUCCCUCUGGUUGGCGACCAACAACCCAAUUUUCUAAGGUUGACCUCGGAUCAGGUAGGAAUACCCGCUGAACUUAAGCAUAUCAAUAAGCGGAGGAAAAGAAACCAACAGGGAUUGCCUCAGUAACGGCGAGUGAAGCGGCAACAGCUCAAAUUUGAAAUCUGGCUCUUUCAGGGUCCGAGUUGUAAUUUGUAGAAGAUGCUUCGGGUGUGGUGCCGGUCUAAGUUCCUUGGAACAGGACGUCAUAGAGGGUGAGAAUCCCGUACGUGACCGUGCGCC
rnacentral:rRNA from 1 species